AGAGUUUGAUCAUGGCUCAGGACGAACGCUUGCGGAGUGCCUAAGAAAUGAAAGUCGAACGGUGUCAGCAAUGGCAUAGUGGCGAACGGUCGCGUAACACGUAAGCAAUCUGCCCCGAAGCGGGGGACAACAGCCCGAAAGGGCUGCUAAUACCGCAUGUGGUUGGUUCAAGGCAUCUUGAACCAUCUAAAGAUUCAUCACUUCGGGAUGAGCUUGCGGCCUAUCAGGUUGUUGGUGGGGUAACGGCCUACCAAGCCUUUGACGGGUAGCUGGUCUGAGAGGAUGUCCAGCCGGAUUGGGACUGAGAUACGGCCCAGACUCCUACGGGGGGCAGCAAUUAGGAAUCUUGCGCAAUGGACGAAAGUCUGACGCAUCGACGCCGCGUGCGGGAGGAAGGGUUUCGGCCUGUAAACCGCUUUUGACGAGGAAGAAGGAUGUGACGGUACUCGUCGAAUAAGCCCCGGCUAACUACGUGCCAGCAGCCGCGGUAAUUC
rnacentral:rRNA from 1 species